AUGCUAACAAUCCCAUCAUCCCUCUCUCCCCAGCUGCCCUCACUGGUGCAGUUGGCCACUCAGGAAUUGCAGAGGGAGGUGGUGGCUCUGCAGGAGCGUGUGGAGGAGGCGCGCAUGUGGCUGGCAGAGCAGGAGCAGCGAAGGGAAGAGGAGGCGAAAUGUCUUCGGGAGGAGGCCCGCGCCCUGGAGAAGCAGCUGGCACAGGAGAGGAGUGCCGGACAGGUGGAGCUCCAGCACAUGCAGCAGAAGCACCAGCAGAGGGCGCUGCAGCUGGCCGAGACCCUUAGGGAGCUGGAGCAGCUCAAGAGCCACAGCGCCGCCCUGCAGGAGGAGAUGGAGCUGUUACAGGAGACGGUGCGGCGUGAGUGUGAGGAGAGAGAGGGGCUGACAGCGGCUCUCUCCGAGGCCAAAGAGCAGCUCCUGCAGCUGUCCCCCCAUGUCCCCCAGAGGCCCUCCCCACGCGCGGCGGCAGCGGCGGCGGCGGCGGCAGCAGCAGCAGCAGCAGCCGCCUCCCCCAGGGGCCCGCAAGCAGGCAGCAGGGAGAGACGGAGCAGGGCCUCCUGGCAUGGGCAGUCGCAGUCGCAGUCAACGCCCACCCUCCCCAGGCUGGCCAGGGAGAGACCCUCCAGCUCAGCUAGCGAAGCCCACCGACGCAUCACUCUGCUCCUGAGCAGGAACGACCGAGUCUGACACACACACACACACACACACACACACACGGACACAAACACAUACACACAGACACACACACGGACACGGACACAAACACAAACACACACACACACACAGAGACAUUCUUACACACACAGACACGCACACCUGUGCUGCUCAUGCAGCUGGAAAGGAGAGUAUGACAGGCCAUCGAUAAUCAUCUAACUGACAUAGAUUUUGACAUGUACUUGCUUUCAUUCUCUCACUCUCUCCCUGUCACACACACACUCGCACACACACACACUCUGAGGCAGGAAAGAGCGAGCGUGACAACUCAUCUCUAGCCACCCACAGAUGUAAACACCCUCCUCCCAAGGCAUGCUCUCACUCUUUCACACACACACACACACACACACACACACACACGCACGCUCCCACAACACACAUUCACACGAACACAAGGUCUUUUUUACUCAGACGCACACGCUCUCCCCCACAAAGUCACACAAACACGCGGCCUUUCACAAGGACCUCUCUCAUGCACGCACGCACACACACACACACACACACGCACGCACACACACACAGUCCAUUCACAAGGUCUUUCUCACGCACUAGCUCUCUUCCACUCCUCUCCCCUGUCUCUGGCCUUGUUUUUUUUUUUUUUUUUUUUGGUGCGUGAUUGACAUUACUCAUUCCCUGCAAGGUCUUUCCAUACUUCCCCCUCCCCGUCACGCUUUUUCUCACUCUCCCUCCCUCUCUCUCUCUCUCUCUCUCUCUCUCUCUCUCUCUCUCUGAAUAGACUCGAGGAAAGCUGGGAAUCUGUAUGGUAUGGAAUAUUCUUAUUGCUUGGCAGAAGGAGCACACAUGGAAAGCUUUUUUUGUGUUUCUUCCGUCACGUAAAGGGGCAAGACCCAACCUCCAAAGGGGAGCUGCGGCUCCUCCUCAUCCCUCACCCCCCCCCCCCCCCCCCCACCCCCCACCCCCCGAAACACAGCGCCAGUUUCAACCCUAGACACACAGUGCAAAAACGAGGAGGCCGCUCUGAGUCUGUCUCCUUUCGGUAACCAGAAACUAGCUCAGCUGAGUCACUUUCACAGAUGAGGAAGUGUUUAGUUUUAAUAUAGAAACUGUUAUGCACAGACAUACAGAGUGUUUGUACCAUGUGCUCAUUCAGGAAGAGAAAAUGUGAUUAUGAUGCCAAUGAUUUUGUAUUUCUAAUAAAGAAAUAUUUGUUUUGUAUUUCCA
ensembl:lncRNA